rnacentral:lncRNA from 1 species
AGACAGCGUUUCAUCCUGUUGGCCAGGCUGGUCUUGAACUCCUGACCUCAAGUGAUCUGCCCAUCUCGGCCUCCCAAAGUGCUGGGAUUAGAGGCAUGAGCCACUGCACCUGGCUGAGACAUUUCUUUUUUAAUGUAUGUAUUUACAACUACAAAUUUCCCUGUUCCCACUGCUUUCACUGCAUCCGGUAAGUUUUAGUAUUUUGUGUUUUCAUUUUAAUUUGUCUCAAAGUAUUUUCUCAUUUCACUUGUGAUUUCUUCUAUUACCCACUGAUUGUUUUAGAAUGUGUUGUUUAAUUUCCACAUACUUGUGAAUUUUCCAGUUUAAUUAUGUUGCUUUCUAGUUUCAUUUCAUUGUGAUCAGAUCACAAAAGAUUAUUUCAAUCUGUUUCAAUUUAUUGAGGCUUGUUUUGUGGCCUAACAUAUGGUCUUUCCUCAAAAUAUUCCAUGUACACUUGUGAAGAAUUUGUAUUCUGCUAUUGUUCUGCAUAUGUCUGUUAGGUCUAAUUGGUUUAUAGUUUUGUUCAAAUCUUCCAUUUCUACAUUGACCCUUUGUCUGGUUGUAUUGGCCAUUAUUGAAAGUGGGGUAUUGAGGUCUCCAACUAUUAUUGUAGAAGUAUUUUUCCCCUUCAUUUCUGUCAAUUUUUGGCUUAUAUAUUUUGGAACUCUGUUAUUAGGUGCUGCUAUGAUUUGGUCCCCACCAACACUCAUGUUGAAAUUUGAUCAUCAGUGUGGCCAUGUUGGGAGGUGGGGCCUAGUGUUUGGCUCAUGGAGGGGGAUGGAGAUCCCUCUUGAAUGGCUUAGUAUCAUUCUUAUGGUAGUGAGUGAGUUCCUGCUCUGGUGAGACUGGAUUAGUUCUUGCUGGAAUGGAUUAAUUUCCAUGAAAAUGGAUUGUUAUAAAAUCAGGAUGCCCCUCAACUUUUGUUUGUUCACAGGUGUCUGUUUCCACUUUGACCUUCUCUGCCAUGUUAUGAUGUAGCAUGAAACCCCUUGCCAGAAGCCAGGGCCAUGCCCUUAAACUUCCCAGCCUACAAAACUAUUUGAGAAGUUUUUGGCCAUUAUUUCUUCGAGUAUUUUUUCUGGCUAGGUGUGGUGGUUCAUGCCUAUAAUCCCAACACUUUGGGAGGCCAAUGCAGGAGGA